AUCUUCCUAGUAUUAAAUUAGUACAAGUGACUUCCAAUCAUUUAGUCUUGGUUAAACCCCAGGGGGAGAUA
rnacentral:tRNA from 1 species